rnacentral:misc_RNA from 1 species
ACUAAUUGCACAGAUUGCGAUGAAUCUUUUAAGCCUAAUUGCUCUAUGAUUUGACAAUGUGGCGCUACAGUAAACAAUUGCUAAUGACGGAUUAAUUAGGCUUAAUGAAUUCAUCUCGCGGUUUACUGACAGAUUUU